rnacentral:tRNA from 1 species
CCCGGUGGUGUAGUGGCCAAGCAUAGUGGCCUUUGGAGCCAUUGACGAGAGUUCGAAUCUCUCCCGGG